rnacentral:rRNA from 1 species
CCCCUUUGACGUUAGCGGCGGACGGGUGAGUAACACGUGGGUAACCUACCUAUAAGACUGGGAUAACUUCGGGAAACCGGAGCUAAUACCGGAUAAUAUUUCGAACCGCAUGGUUCGAUAGUGAAAGGUGGUUUUGCUAUCACUUAUAGAUGGACCCGCGCCGUAUUAGCUAGUUGGUAAGGUAACGGCUUACCAAGGCGACGAUACGUAGCCGACCUGAGAGGGUGAUCGGCCACACUGGAACUGAGACACGGUCCAGACUCCUACGGGAGGCAGCAGCC